rnacentral:rRNA from 1 species
CCCUUAGAUGUUCUGGGCCGCACGCGUGCUACACUGAACGGUUCAAUGGGUAAGGUAGUGCGAAAGCAUGACCUAGUCUCGAAAUCCGUUCGUGCUGGGGAUAGAAGCUUGCAAUUAUCCUUCUUGAACGAGGAAUACCUUGUAAGCGUGAGUCAUCAUCUCACGCUGAAUACGUCCCUGCCCUUUGUACACACCGCCCGUCGCUCCUACCGAUUGAGUGUUCCGGUGAGGCUUUGGGAGAAUGGCCUCAACAUGAGUUUAUCGUGUUUUGCCGUUUGAACUUAGUCAAACCUUAUCACUUAGAGGAAGGAGAAGUCGUAACA